rnacentral:rRNA from 1 species
GAUGAACGCUGACAGAAUGCUUAACACAUGCAAGUCAUUGGCGAAGCUGCGCUUGCGCAGUCUAGCCAAGGCGGACGGGUGAGUAACGCGUAAGGAACUUGCCCUGCAGACAGGGAUAACAGACGGAAACGACUGAUAACACCUGGUAUUGUCAGGCUGGCGCAUGCCGGCCUGAUGAAAGGAGACGCUGCAGGAGAGCCUUGCGUCCUAUUAGCUAGUUGGUGGGGUAACGGCCCACCAAGGCGAUGAUAGGUAGCCGGCCUGAGAGGGUGAACGGCCACAAGGGGACUGAGAUACGGCACUUACUCCUACGGGAGGCAGCAGUGGGGAAUAUUGGACAAUGGGGGCAACCCUGAUCCAGCAAUUCUGUGUGCACGAAGAAGGUUUUCGGAUUGUAAAGUGCUUUCAGCAGGGAAGAAGAAAGUGACGGUACCUGCAGAAGAAGCGACGGCUAAAUACGUG